rnacentral:rRNA from 1 species
AUGAACGCUGGCGGCGUGCCUCAUACAUGCAAGUCGAGCGAACAGAUGAGGAGCUUGCUCCUCUGACGUUAGCGGCGGACGGGUGAGUAACACGUGGAUAACCUACCUAUAAGACUGGGAUAACUUCGGGAAACCGGAGCUAAUACCGGAUAAUAUAUUGAACCGCAUGGUUCAAUAGUGAAGGACGGUUUUGCUGUCACUUAUAGAUGGAUCCGCGCCGCAUUAGCUAGUUGGUAAGGUAACGGCUUACCAAGGCAACGAUGCGUAGCCGACCUGAGAGGGUGAUCGGCCACACUGGAACUGAGACACGGUCCAGACUCCUACGGGAGGCAGCAGUAGGGAAUCUUCCGCAAUGGGCGAAAGCCUGACGGAGCAACGCCGCGUGAGUGAUGAAGGUCUUCGGAUCGUAAAACUCUGUUAUUAGGGAAGAACAAAUGUGUAAGUAACUAUGCACGUCUUGACGGUACCUAAUCAGAAAGCCACGGCUAACUACGUG